GCUUCCGGAGCUAACGCGUUAAGUCGACCGCCUGGGGAGUACGGCCGCAAGGUUAAAACUCAAAUGAAUUGACGGGGGCCCGCACAAGCGGUGGAGCAUGUGGUUUAAUUCGAUGCAACGCGAAGAACCUUACCUGGUCUUGACAUCCACGGAAGUUUUCAGAGAUGAGAAUGUGCCUUCGGGAACCGUGAGACAGGUGCUGCAUGGCUGUCGUCAGCUCGUGUUGUGAAAUGUUGGGUUAAGUCCCGCAACGAGCGCAACCCUUAUCCUUUGUUGCCAGCGGUCCGGCCGGGAACUCAAAGGAGACUGCCAGUGAUAAACUGGAGGAAGGUGGGGAUGACGUCAAGUCAUCAUGGCCCUUACGACCAGGGCUACACACGUGCUACAAUGGCGCAUACAAAGAGAAGCGACCUCGCGAGAGCAAGCGGACCUCAUAAAGUGCGUCGUAGUCCGGAUUGGAGUCUGCAACUCGACUCCAUGAAGUCGGAAUCGCUAGUAAUCGUGGAUCAGAAUGCCACGGUGAAUACGUUCCCGGGCCUUGUACACACCGCCCGUCACACCAUGGGAGUGGGUUGCAAAAGAAGUAGGUAGCUUAACCUUCGGGAGGGCGCUUACCACUUUGUGAUUCAUGACUGGGGUGAAGUCGUAACAAGGUAACCGUAGGGGAACCUGCGGUUGGAUCAC
rnacentral:rRNA from 2 species